rnacentral:rRNA from 1 species
CUACGGGAUGCUGCAGUGGGGAAUAUUGGACAAUGGGCGAAAGCCUGAUCCAGCAAUACCGCGUGAAUGAUGAAGGCCUUAGGGUUGUAAAGUUCUUUUAGUUGGAAAGAUAAUGACGGUACCAACAGAAAAAGCCCCGGCUAGCUCCGUGCCAGCAGCCGCGGUAAGACGGAGGGGGCUAGCGUUGUUCGGAAUUACUGGGCGUAAAGGGCGCGUGGGCGGAUUAGUAAGUUGGGAGUGAAAGCCCGGGGCUUAACCUCGGAACUGCUUUCAAAACUGCUAGUCUUGAGUGAAGUAGGGGAUGAUGGAAUUCCUAGUGUAGAGGUGAAAUUCUUAGAUAUUAGGAGGAACACCGGUGGCGAAGGCGGUCAUCUGGACUUCAACUGACGCUGAGGCGCGAAAGCGUGGGGAGCAAACAGGAUUAGAUACCCUAGUAGUC